rnacentral:rRNA from 1 species
UUAAGGGCGUACGGUGGAUGCCUUGACUUUAAGAGGCGAUGAAGGACGUGGCGUUGCUGCGAUAAGCUUCGGGGAGACGCAAAGCAGUCUUUGAUCCGGAGAUUUCCGAAUGGGGAAACCCUGUAGAGUAAACCUCUACAACCUUGAGCUUUAUGUUCAAGGAGCAUACCCUGGGAAGUGAAACAUCUCAGUACCAGGAGGAGUAGAGAACAAUAGUUAUUUCCUAAGUAGCGGCGAGCGAAAAGGAAGAAGCCCAAACUCGAGUAGCAAUACUCGGGGGUUGUAAGGUAACAAUUUUUAUUUAUUUAAAGAAGAGUCAAAAAAUAAAUUAUUAGCUUAAGUUCUUGGAAAAGGGCACCAUAGAGGGUGAUAGUCCCGUCUGCGAAAAUAAUUUAUCUCUUUUAUUGUUAUUCUUGAGUACCCCAGGACAUGAAUGGCCGGGGGGAAUCCAGCGGAACUAACCGCUAAGGCUAAAUACUCUUAAAGAUCGAUAGUGAACUAGUACCGUGAGGGAAAGGUGAAAAGCAGCCCGAUUAGGGCGGUGAAAUAGACCUGAAACCGUAUGUCUACAAGGAGUCGAACUCCGUCUUCGGAUGGAGAACGGCGUGCCUAUUGAAGAAUGAGCCAACGAGUUUAUGCAUACUGCUAGGUUAAGUUGACUAAAACAACAAAGCCGAAGGGAAACCGAGUGUUAAUAGCGCGACUGUAUAUUUAUUUAUACGGGUAGAAUGCAUAAGACCCGAAGCCAGGUGAGCUUGCCAUGAGCAGGAUGAAGUAGGUCGAAAGACUUAUGGAGGUCCGAACGGGUAGAUCGUACAACGUCUUCCGAUGACUUGUGGUAAGGAGUGAAAAGCUAAUCGAACCUGGUAAUAGCUGGUUCUCUCCGAAAUAGCUUUAGGGCUAGCGUCGUGUGUUUCUUUUGGGGGUAGAGCACUGGAAGGUUUCGACAGGGAGCAAUCUCGCGAAACCUAUCAAACUCCGAAUACUAGAAGUAAGAACACGGCAGUUAGGCCAUGGGGGCGAAGCUCCAUUGGCCAAAAGGGAAACAGCCCGGAUCUCUAAAUAAGGUCCCUAAAUAUAUACUAAGUGUAAGACAAGAAGGUGAAGUUUCUCAAACAAUGAGGAGGUUGGCUUAGAAGCAGCCACCCUUUAAAGAUAGCGUAACAGCUCACUCAUCUAGAGAUUUUGCGUCGAAAAUAAUUGGGGCUAAGUAUAUUACCGAAUUUGAGGAUUUUAAUCCCCUUAGGGGGCCUAAAGUGGUAGGAGAGUGUUCCAAUCCGCAGUGAAGGAGGACCCGUGAGGGCCUCUGGAGCGUUUGGAAGUAAGAAUGUUGGCACAAGUAACCGCAAUGAUGCUGAGAACGCAUCACGUCGAAAGAUCAAGGUUUCCUUGGUAAUGUCAAUCAGCCAAGGGUUAGUCGGGCCUAAGGGAAUGGCGAAAGCCGUACUCGAUGGACAGCGGGUUAAUAUUCCCGCACUUCUGUAUUUUGUGAUGGGAUGACGGAGUGUAGUAUGUAUCGCUCAUUAUUGGAUUUGAAGUUUGUGUAUUUAGGAUGAUGUGUAGGAAAAUCCGCACGCUGCCUUUAAUGGCGAAUCCAAGAUAUAUGAAAAAUUUUAUUCUUCGGGAUAGGACAAUGAUACAAAGCACGCUUCCAAGAAAAAUCUCCUAAACUUAUGAAUAUAGAAUCCGUACCGCAAACCGACACAGGUGAUCAGGUCGAGUAGACCAAGACGAACGAGUGAGUGGUCCCCAAGGAACUCGGCAAAAAAGCAGCCGUAACUUCGGGAUAAGGCUUCCCCUCACCAAUUUUGAGCUUAUAAUAUUGAGCUCAAAAUUGGUGAGGGGCGCAGCGAAAGUAUCUCUGGCAACUGUUUACCAAAAACACAGCUCCCUGCGAACUCGCAAGAGGAUGUAUAGGGGGUGACACCUGACCAAUGCCAGAAGGUCAAAUAUCGCCUUUGUAUGUAGCAAUAUGUAUGGUGAGUGAUAUAAGCCCUGGUGAAUGUCGGCCGUAACUAUAACGGUCCUAAGGUAGCGAAAUACCUUGUCGGGUAAGUUCCGACGCGCACGAAUGGUGUAAUGACUGGAGAACUGUCUCGGGGACCAGCUCGGUGAAAAUACAAUACCGGUGAAGAUGCCGGUUAAGUGCAGUUAGACGAAAAGACCCUAGAAGCUUUACUAUAACUUUAUAUUGAGCAUGUUUUUUGUCUGCGUAGCAUAGAUGGGAGGGGUCUGACGUAUACGGUUUCGGCUGUAUUCUACCCAACAGUGAAAUACCAUUCUUACCGAAGGCAUGUUCUAACCAAAACGGCAAAAACGUUUUGAGACAGUAUAUGGUGGAUAGUUUUACUGGGGCUGUACCCUCCUAAAAAGUAAAGGAGGGGUUUAAAGGUUAGCUAGGCGCGAAUGGAAACCGUGCCGAUAGUGUAAUGGCACAAGCUAGCUUGACUGUGAGAGGUACAUCUCAAGCAGGUGCGAAAGCAGAACAUAGUGAACCGACCACCCGUGUUAGACGCGGUGGAAGAUUAACGGAUAAAAGCUACUCUAGGGAUAACAGGCUAGUUCCGCCCAAGAGUUCAUAUCGACGGCGGAGUUCGGCACCUCGAUGUCGGCUCACCUUAGCGCGGCGGUGGAGAAGCUGCCAAGCGUUUGGCUGUUCGCCAAUUAAAAAGGUACGCGAGCUGGGUUCAGACCGUUUGGAAAUUAAUUUACAAAUUGAUUUUCGGACAGUUUGAACCCUCAGAGGAAUUCAUGAACAAAAAUGAACUGUUUUAAUCGAAAUUAACCAUAUUAUUAAUUUAGUAUCACGGCGGUUCUGCGAAUUUUUUUCGCAGGAAGAAGUCGGGGUUUUCGGAGGAAUCCAAUCCUGAGCAUUUGCGAAGGAGGACAACACCGAGAAGAAAUUUAUUUUCUUUGUAGAGACUACAAACCGACCUUAUUGAAAAAUAAGAAUGUAUAGUCCAAUCCCCAAAGUAAUUUGGGACGUCCCAUUAGAAUUUACGGUCGCAAGC